GAUGAACGCUGGCGGCGUGCCUAAUACAUGCAAGUCGAGCGAACGGACGAGAAGCUUGCUUUUCUGAUGUUAGCGGCGGACGGGUGAGUAACACGUGGAUAACCUACCUAUAAGACUGGGAUAACUUCGGGAAACCGGAGCUAAUACCGGAUAAUAUUUUGAACCGCAUGGUUCAAAAGUGAAAGACGGUCUUGCUGUCACUUAUAGAUGGAUCCGCGCUGCAUUAGCUAGUUGGUAAGGUAACGGCUUACCAAGGCAACGAUGCAUAGCCGACCUGAGAGGGUGAUCGGCCACUCUGGAACUGAGACACGGUCCAGACUCCUACGGGAGGCAGCAGUAGGGAAUCUUCCGCAAUGGGCGAAAGCCUGACGGAGCAACGCCGCGUGAGUGAUGAAGGUCUUCGGAUCGUAAAACUCUGUUAUUAGGGAAGAACAUAUGUGUAAGUAACUGUGCACAUCUUGACGGUACCUAAUCAGAAAGCCACGGCUAACUACGU
rnacentral:rRNA from 1 species